AUACGGAGGGUGCGAGCGUUAAUCGGAAUUACUGGGCGUAAAGGGUGCGUAGGCGGCUUGAUAAGUCGGAUGUGAAAGCCCCGGGCUUAACCUGGGAAUUGCAUUCGAUACUGUCAGGCUAGAGUAUGUCAGAGGUUGGCGGAAUUCCUGGUGUAGCGGUGAAAUGCGUAGAGAUCGGAAGGAACACCAGUGGCGAAGGCGACUCACUGGGCCAUUACUGACGCUGAGGUGCGAAAGCGUGGGUAGCAAACAGGAUUAGAAACCCUAGUAGUCC
rnacentral:rRNA from 1 species